AUUGAACGCUGGCGGCAGGCCUAACACAUUCAAGUCGAGCGAGCGGCGGACGGGUGAGUAAUGCCUGGGAAUUUCCCAGUCGAGGGGGAUAACAGUUGGUAACGACUGCUAAUACCGCAUACGUUUUGAUUGCCCAGGUGGGAUUAGCGAGUUGGUUAUGUAAUGGCUCACCAAGGGGACGAUCCCUAGCUGGUCUGAGAGGAUGGUCAGCAGCACUGGAAGUGAGACAGGGUCCAGACUCAGACGGGAGGAAGAAGAGGGGAAUAAUGGACAAGGGGGGAAACCCUGGUGAGACCAUGAAGGGUGUGUGAAGUAGGCCGUCGGGUUGUAAAGCACUUUCAGCUAGGAGGCGUUACUCGCAGAAGAAGCACCGGCUAACUCCGUGCCAGCAACCGCGGUAAUUC
rnacentral:rRNA from 1 species